AAUAACAUUUAUUCGUUGGAGAGACCGUUUCUUAUUUUGUGCCGAAGCAAUUUAUAAAGCACAGGCUGAAACAGGUGAAAUCAAAGGGCCGAAAUAUCACAAGAGCACACCUCUGAAC